UCUUCUUCACCUCCUCAUCUUCAGCCUUGUACCUCUCUGCCUCCUGCACCAUUCUCUCAACCUCUUCCUUGCUCAAUCUUCCCUUGUCGUUGGUAUCGUUGGAAAUUAUAUAUUAUAGUAUAAACUAUUGUAAUAUAUAAUUUUAAUAAUUGAAUGAAAAAUAGUGUUAACCAAUUUCUUAGAAAGGUUAUGUUGUUUAGAUGUAUUCCCUUGUUAAGUGAUGUAUACUUAUAGAUGAAAAGUUACAUCUCUUUAUUAGUUGAAGUUGGGUUCUAUAUAAACUCAUGAAACCAUUAUCAUUAAGAUACAGAAAAAUUAGAGUUAAUUUUUACUCUUGAGAAAAUAGGGUUUCCCCACUUUGUUUGUCUCAUGCUUCGUGUGUCAAAUUCCGAGUCGUGUCUUGAGAGUACGAAAUAUAAAGUUCGCCAGAGUCCGAAGAUUGAAGUGCUUUGACUUCGGAUUAUAGAUUGUUGAAUUCUGGAAGAUGGACGCCUAUCGAACUACAAGCACAAGAGUAGGGGCGAAAUUCUGUCUUUAGGACAUUGCAUUUAUGCAAGCCUCAAUUUCCAAGUUUGUCAGUUUUUCUAUCUUUAUCUCUAGUUGUUUAUAUUAAUCUCAUAUAUAAUUGAUGUUGUGAAUUUCUUUAUGAUUAUUAUCAUUGGAAUUAUAUUGUUAUUUUUCAUAUUUUCUAAUAUUGCUCCAACAAUCUAAAGAUAGAAAUUUAUAUCUCUUUGCAAUAAUUAGAAAAAUAUGAAAAAUUCUCAUAAAGCAGUGGCUAGAUAUUGGAAAUAGAAUAUGUUGUGUUUGACGCAAACCCUAGCCCUCUUUGAGAAGGAAGAUCGCUACAUCUAAUGAUGAAAUUGAGGCAUGAAUCCAAUUUCAAUAGAAAGAUUUAAUUUGAUCAUUGGGCUAGAUGAUGGGUUGUAGAUUGUAUAUAUAGUAUACAAAACAACAAAAGAUCGUUCUGGGAAUUAUUGAUGAUAAAUGUCAUACUGCAAUACUUGAAUUAGAAUAAGUCUUGUGAAUUUGGUAGUUACAAUUGCAUACAUUUUUUCUUAAUUUUCAUGGGAAACAGUUUUCUCAAUUUAGUAUGAUCAUUUUUCCAAGCAAACAGAACUUGAUUUGGCUUGUGGGUUUUAAUUUUCUCGACAACAUUGGUCAUGCACUUCUUUGAAAUCGAUUGUGAUUUUCUCCUGUUGUGCAAGUAAUGAUGGCACAGAAACGUUAUACUAAUAUAUAUAACCUGCAUAUAUGCAUUUUAUUUCCUGACAUUACACUAAUUAAAUUCAUGUAUUUGUUGACAAUGAGUUUAUUAAUUUCAAUUCUCUGAAAUAUGCAUGCAAAAGGAUAAAGGUUUUGUUUCACAACGUUGGUUAUAGUAGUCUCAAGUGUGCAACGGUUUUAAGAUUGGUGUGUAGGAAAAACCUAUCUUCUGAAAGGAUGCGUUUUUUAGUCUGGGUAGAUUUACCUUGCAUUUCGCAUAAGAUACUUAUCUUUGGCACUGAAUAUUAUGUUAAACGUUAUGUGCUACCAUUGGAAUGAUUGCAUUUAUAGUAAUGGCCUUUUAUUCAUGUAUGUUGUUCGAUCUCGGAUAUUGCUUAGAGAUUUAUACAUAUGAUGUUAUUAUAUUUGGCUGUUUGAAUGGUUGUGCUAGUACAUCGGUUGCAUUGCAAUGAAAGGUUGGCUGCCAACCCAAUGGGUAAUCACUGAAUGUUGUCAUUUCCUCAUGAACCGGUAUAAAGAUAGUGUGGCGAUGAGGAUGUGACCCUUUGGGUUUUCGUUGCUUUACAAAUUAUUAUGAUUUAAGAACACAACUUUUCUUGUUUUAAACAAAUGAACAGACAUGACUAUCCAAAGGUUAAAACAUUUGGUCUUUGGAAAGGAAAAGACUAGACAUUAAAACGUGGGAUAUUGGAGAAAAAAAAAAUGUAUUUGAAUUCGACAUAAUGAUGCUUAUUAAGUAAGCAUAUGAAUGGACAUGGCCAUUGGGUCAUGCAUGUUAAUCAUAGUAAGGAAAGAAUCAAAGCCAAGAAGUGAUUUUUCUCAUAAUUUAGUGAGGCAUGAAGGCCAAAAAAGAUAGAUAGAGUCUAUCUUAGUUGUCCCUUAUUUCUUAAAGUGAAAAAUGUGAUCGAUUUAAUGAUAGCAUUAAAAGAAACUACAAUUAUGAAAGAAUUGUGGGGGUUGGUAAAAGUAAUUUGCUAAUUGAACGACAUUCAAAAUGUCAUCUCUUGUAAUGAGUAAUUGUUUAAGGUAUGGCAAAGUUAGAGAUCUUCUUUCAAAUACCUUAAAUGUGGGGGAGUUUACCCAAGUGCUCAGUGUUAGCAAAUUACUUAGUAAUUAAGUCCUAAUUUUGAGGACUUGACAUUUCAAAUAAUGUCAAACAACUACUCUUGUAUGAAAUAUAAUUUCAUAAGAUGGAUUGUGUACACCAUCAAAGGUAGUCAACCUAAUAGUGGAUCCCAUUAUUAAAGGUUAGAUUAGAGAGUAAGUUGAUCAUCGAGGGGAAUGAGGCUAAAGCCAACAUAACUAAUGAAUCAGCCGAGCGGAAACCUAACUUAGUUGAUUGGAGAUCCCAUGGUCUAAGUUCAAUAGGCAAACUGGUUGGGCAUGAUUCAAAGAAGUUAACACACUAUAUAUACCUCAUUCCUAUGAUGGAAGAAGUGUGUUGUCUGCAGACGUUUUAGGUUGUAUAUUUAUACUUAAUGACAGUGAUAUCUUAUAAAUAAGAGGAAUAGAGCAGACUAUUCUUAAUCAGUGGUCACCUAUGUGAGAGUAGAAGUUGGUCGCUUCUAUGAGAAUGAGAUGGCUAAAUUCUCUAAAGCUCUCAUGAAUCCGGGAUUUGUUCAGGACCAAAAUGAACACAACCGUAUGAACCCUAAUAUAUUAGAAUAAGUGAUGUGUGUUACUUAUUGUCUCGGUUUACUACUGCGGUGAACAGUUCAAGAUUUUAUAUUCACUGCGUCACCAAGUAAAUCCGAUAAGUAUUCACUAGGGUAGGUUCAAGUCCAAAAGACACCUCUCCCGAUGCAUCUCUUGUCCGCCUGUACUCUCAAAUUCUUCUUGAUUUUUCAUUCAUGUGGGGGAUUGUUGGAAAUUAUAUAUUAUAGUAUAAACUAUUGUAAUAUAUAAUUUAAUAAUUGAAUGAAAAAUAGUGUUAACCAAUUUCUUAGAAAGGUUAUGUUGUUUAGAUGUAUUCCCUUGUUAAGUGAUGUAUACUUAUAGAUGAAAAGUUACAUCUCUUUAUUAGUUGAAGUUGGGUUCUAUAUAAACUCAUGAAACCAUUAUCAUUAAGAUAUAGAAAAAUUAGAGUUAAUUUUUACUCUUGAGAAAAUAGGGUUUCCCCACUUUGUUUGUCUCAUGCUUCGUGUGUCAAAUUCCGAGUCGUGUCUUGAGAGUACGAAAUAUAUAAAGUUCGCCAAAGUCCGAAGAUUGAAGUGCUUUGACUUCGGAUUAUAGAUUGUUGAAUUCUGGGAGAUGGACGCCUAUCGAACUACAAGCACAAGAGUAGGGGCGAAAUUCUAUCUUUAAGACAUUGCAUUUAUGCAAGCCUCAAUCUCCAAGUUUGUCAGUUUUUCUAUCUUUAUCUCUAGUUGUUUAUAUUAAUCUCAUAUAUAAUUGAUGUUGUGAAUUUCUUUAUGAUUAUUAUCAUUGGAAUUAUAUUGUUAUUUUUCAUAUUUUCUAAUAUUGCUCCAACAGGUAUUGGUGAUCUUGUUCUUCACUCCAGCAGUCUCGUCUUCCGCCGACACGUUCAAUAUACCAUUUGCAUCAAUGUCAAAGCAGACAUUGAUCUGAGGGACACCUCUUGGCGCCGGAGGAAUGAUACAACAGACAAUACACCAAUGGCGCUAGAUUCUGGUUCCAUGUAAGUACACAUCUAGAGGAUCCUCUUUGUAGGAUGCUAAAGAUCCUCAUCGUACAUCGUGCGGCCAAUUUCUGUAGGUAUUGUUUACCUUUAAUUUAAAUAAAAAAAAUUAAAAUGAUUUAUAACCUCAUGAUAUACGAUAAAUUGAUAGGAUGUAAAAAUCCAAAUGGGAUCCAAAUCUUAC
rnacentral:lncRNA from 1 species